GGAGGGGUGCAAACGUUGUUCGGAAUCACUGGGCAUAAAGCGCACGGUAGGCGGCCUAGUCAGUCAGGGUGUGAAAGCCCCCGGCUCAACCGGGGAACUGCAUUUGAUACUGCUAGGCUUGAGGAUGGUUGGGGUGAGUGGAACUCCUGGUGGAGCGGUGAAAUGCGUAGAUAUCAGGAGGAACACCGGUGGCGAAAGCGGCUCACUGGACCAUUUCUGACGCUGAGGUGCGAAAGCUAGGGUAGCGAACGGGAUUAGAUACCCCGGUAGUCCUAGCCGUAAACGAUGGGCACUAGGUAGGGGGAAUGCCUAUGGUUUUCCCUGCCGGAGCAAAUGUGUUAAGUGCCCCGCCUGGGGAGUACGCUCGCAAGGGUA
rnacentral:rRNA from 1 species